UGCACAGCAACUCCAAUCCCUACCUCCUUGCGGUACUAGCCGGGGUGAGCAACCUUAGAGAAGAUCGGGUAACCAAUCCCGGUGGGAACUUUGGUGUUAUGCUGACAGUGAAGG
rnacentral:ribozyme from 1 species